rnacentral:tRNA from 1 species
GUUGUUGUGGCCGAGUGGUUAAGGCGAUGGACUUAAAAUCCAUUGGGGUCUUCAUGCGUAGGGUCGAAUCCUGCCAUCAAUG